rnacentral:rRNA from 1 species
AUUGAACGCUGGCGGCAUGCCUUACACAUGCAAGUCGAACGGUAACAGGUUAAGCUGACGAGUGGCGAACGGGUGAGUAAUGUAUCGGAACGUGCCCAGUCGUGGGGGAUAACUACUCGAAAGAGUGGCUAAUACCGCAUACGACCUGAGGGUGCAAGCGGGGGACCGUAAGGCCUCGCGCGAUUGGAGCGGCCGAUAUCAGAUUAGCUAGUUGGUGGGGUAAAAGCCCACCAAGGCGACGAUCUGUAGCUGGUCUGAGAGGACGACCAGCCACACUGGGACUGAGACACGGCCCAGACUCCUACGGGAGGCAGCAGUGGGGAAUUUUGGACAAUGGACGCAAGUCUGAUCCAGCCAUGCCGCGUGCGGGAAGAAGGCCUUCGGGUUGUAAACCGCUUUUGUCAGGGAAGAAACGAGUUUCUCUAAUACAGAGACUUAAUGGCGGUACCUGAAGAAUAAGCACCGGCUAACUACGUGCCAGCCGCCGCUGUAACAC